UGUCAUUUCUUUGGUCUUGCUGUGGACUCACCACGCAAGUGCCUUCUGCUAUCCGGAGAGCAGAAUAAACUCUUUCUUUGAACCAACUCGGUGUCAUUUUGACUUCCUUCCUCCUGUCACGGAGCAACGCAGACCCAAUCGGUGAACUCCAAUAAGGCUACAGUAGGACCCACUAUUGCUCUCAUCUGCUCAACCCGCCAGAGCCUAUCUUCACAUGCAGGGAAGUCCCUAACUCACCAAAGGUUUGAGACCGAUUGGCUACCCUCCCCUGGUUCAGCUGAACAAUGAAAGCCUGAUACUCUGAACUGUCAAGCUGUGCGUGCCUGUAAGCUCCCAACUCUGAUCUGUGAAGAAGGAGGGGUAGGGAAACACUACCCACUGCCUUGAGGGACGUCUUCAGGAGAAGAAAAGGCUGAAUAGUAAACCCUACACAAAUCCAGAGUGGAGUCCUUAAGAUGGUUGGAUGGCACCUUGUACGCCUCCUUCCGACAACUCCUGUAGCCAAACAUAUUGCUCUGCUUUCCUUUGGACCACAUCAGUGAGGCCAAAAGGAGAGUUCUUGUCAUCUGGGCAGCCCAGGACCUCUACCUCCACCCACCCCCCAGAGGUGCUCCGUCUCUUGAGACAGAUGGAUGCCAAGAAAAAGGGGAACCUUGUUUACUUACAUUGCAGCACGACAGAGGCAAGCAUGUUAAUGAUGAACAAUGAAUAGUCUACCACUAGUUCUUUGGAAAAUAGUAGACUGGCUUGCUGGUUUCCCUCCAUCUUGGUAUAGAGUCUCAGUAAGUAAAUGCUCUUAGCUGGCCACUUGCCUUGAUUGCUGGCCAGUAGUUCCUGCUGACAGUUAUGCCACUGUGCAAAGAUUGGGCCCAAAAUAAGCAACUGUAGCCUAUUCUAAAAUUCAAUCCUCCCUUCUGUUUGCACUGGAUUUUUGUGGGUAUUUGCUGACAGAUGUUCCAGCUGAUUUAUGGUAUUAUUAUACUAGUGAUAUAACACAGUGGGGUGCACUGUGGUUGUCUGCGUGAUUGAUGCAGCAGAUAAACAUAAAGUGUUUGAUUACAGAAAGUAUUUUGAUUUCAGAGAAAUUUGAGAAGCAAGAAAUUACUUAGAAAAAACUGAAAGACUAUACCUAACUAAAAGCACAACAAUGUAUUGUUUCAAUGCAUUUCUUCCACUAAAUUGGUGUUGAAUUGGCAAUAGCUUUUCUGCCUAUUUGAAGGGGUGUGUGUAUUUAUACAUGUGUGUGUGUGUGUGUUUUGGCAUCCAUCUGUCUCAAGAGACAAUGGAGUGCACCUCUGGGGGUAAAGCCAAACUGCUGUGUUAGCAGCCCCAGAGUGACCUUCCAUGGUGUGCAAGUGUGGGCCGUGUGUAUGGGGGUCCUGGGCUGCCCAGAUGAUAAGUCCCCUCUCGGCCUUGCUGAUGUGGUCCAAAGAAAAUCAAAGAAAUCAGAGAAAUACCUUGUGCACCAGCUGGGCGGCAGGUGUUGCCAGAAGGGGGCAUACCUGGCGCCAUCUAACCCUCUAAGGGACUCCACUCUCGAUUUACGUAGGGUUUAUUUCUUAGCCAUUUAUUCUCCCAACGAUAUUCCACAAGGUAGCAGAGGCUUAGGAUCAGAAUUUUCCUUCUCCUGGAUUGGCCACCUUCCCAAGUUGAUGAGCCCAUCUGCCCCUCACUUCCCUCUACAGCACAUGCAGAAACCACCUUCUUAACUGUGGGAACCACUGUUGGUCUCAUAUGCUCAAUCCACCAAAAUAUGCCUUCACGUAUAUUUAUAUGGAUAUGUGGCAGACCGUAUUAGAUAAGUAUGUAUUUUACAAAGGAAGAGAGAAACUAUUUAGAAUCUACAUGAUCAGUGAAAAAUGUCUCAAGGGGGUUUAAGAUGUCCGUGAAAUAUUGAUAAUAUGAGAAGCGUAGAACAGGUUUAAAAGCUUUGAAAGCAACCUUUGCAUUGUCCUUGCAUUAAGAAACCUGGAUUUGUGUCCCCCAGGGCACCCAUGAGAGCAUCGACUAAAAAAGGGAAUCACAACAGUUCUUACUGCCCAUCAACAGAAGCAUAAAAGUUUUUAUUGUUAUGAAAGCUGGAGACCCUUCUUUUAAUCUCUGUGGGAUGGUUUUCAGAAAGUCAGAGACCACUUUGACCACUUUGUUUGUGUAUGCCAAUCAAAUUAUGAAGGCUUAGAAGAAUAACAGUAACAAAACAAAACAAAACAAAACAAAGGAAGGCUAGAUUUGUCUGCUUUGGGGGACCUUUCCUCCAGAUUUAGAGAAAAGGGGUGAACUGCCAGGCAUGGAAAGAAGAUGAGUGACGCUGCAAUUUAGUUAUUAAUUCACAACAAACAAUUUAAAGAAAAGUUAAUAUACUGCAUGCUCUUAUAAGGAAUGCUUUUUUAUCUGAAUAAGCAUGUGUGAGCCAGACAUUAGUAACCACAUAUAACAGGAGUAUACAAAAUAUUUUAAUAAUUAAAUAAUCCUUGGGGCUUCUUGAAAGGUUUUCUGAAACUUUAACUUCCCUGAAACUCAGCUGUCAUCAGUCUCCUCUUAUGAUGUAUUUGAUGUCUUCUGGGGUGUUUUCUAAUAAAGAGACCACAAAAGUGAGUCUCAUGGUGAAUGUUCAAGCUAUAACACUUCCCCAAAUUCUCUGGAAUGCACAGAGAUUUCAGGCCAUUGCUCCAGCAGGGGAUAGGGCAUAGAAGGAAGACACUUCAUCCAUGCCUUAAGAACCAAGGGCCUGUGCUUUGGUCUCCAUAAAGUGUGUGUGUGUGUGUGUGUGUGUGUGUGUGAGAGAGAGAGAGAGAGAGAGAGAGAGAGAGAAUUUGAUUGGCAUACACACACACACACACACACACACACACACACUGGCCCCAGGGACAGGGAACACUGUAUGAAGGGCAUUUUGUGCAGAAAUACAAAUCAGACAGGCAGAAACAUGGCAUAAAACAGUUGCCUAAGGAAGCUAAAAGUGCUGAGAGCUGUAAGGAGACCCUUAUCCUCACAGACCUAUAAUUCUCAGUUUUCUGGAAAGAGGGAUUCAGGAGGGGUAAGAGGAGUUACGCCUGUGAAUUUCCUUAAAAAUAACUCAAAAACUUCAUUUUUUUUGAGAUUUUGGCUUUUAAUGAAAGGGCUGGUGCCAUGCUGUUAUUAUUGUAAUUAUUUGUAUGACUUUAAAUAUACAGUAUUUCAUACAGGUAUACAGUUUUAAUUGUUUUCUAUGAUUGUUUUUUUUGAUAUUUUUAGCAGUUCUUAUUUUUAACUGUAACCCACAUUCAGUCUCAUCAGGGAAAAGGGUGGGGUUAAUAAUAAUAAUAAUAAUAGUCGUCUCCUAACAACUCUCAGCACCCUUAACAAACUAAAGUUCCCAGGGGUCUUUGAGGAAAGCCAUGACUGUUUAAAAUGGUAUGUAUAGUACAGGUUGUGCAUAUGAUGAUAACUUUUAAACUUGAGUUGCCUUGGUUACACUACCUGAUUUUGGCUGGUGCGUGAGCUUUGGUUGCUGGUGUUGGAAUUUUGCCUCCUCCAGACUGUGUUAUCUCCGGCUCCUACAGAUGAAGAGCCAGUACUCCUUUGGACCUGGAGGACUGUUGAGGGUUGACCCUGGACAAACCGUGACUGGUGCCUACUGUGGAAGCACAACGUACAUCCUGCACCAAUCUGUGUCUUUUUCCCACCAGCACCAGUAGCAGCUAAGAACAUGGAGUUCUUUCACACCUGUACCUUCUUAUAGUGGCCACAUAUCUUUUGUUUUUAUAGGUCCCUGGACAAACCUAGACAGCUUUAGAGAGAAAUCUAUUAUUGCUUUAAGGUUUACAAACUUGUUAUGCAUCAUUCUUCUUCAAUUCAUUUAACACUUGCCGACAAUUUUUUAUUAUUUUAUUUUCUGCUAGAGUUAUUUUUAAUUCAUUUCUGCUUGUGGGGAAUACGUUGAUGCUAUAUGUAUGGUUGCAAGAUUAAUUUCAUUUUAACUUCCUCAUUCUGAUUGUUAGCAAUUCAUUAUGGCAAAUUCUACUUAGAAUUGGGAAGGUCCUAUAAGUGGUUUCAGUCGGAAUAUUUUGUUUUCCGGUUGGAAGAUGUCAAGUUUAGAGAUAAUUUUAUGCAAAGGUUAGAACAUUCUGUUCUUGAAUACAUAAAGCAGGGCUGCCAUUCAAUAUUUCAGAAUUCAUAUAUAGAAAUGUAGAGCAAAUAAAACUGUCAUCUCAUGUCUUUGAGGGAGAGAUUUUUAAUUUUAAAAAAUGCAGUUAAACUAUCCUGUUUUUGAUGGUAAGCGUGAUUACUUUGGAGUUCACCUAUCUUUUCCUUUACGUAAUUUCACAAAACUUAAAACAUAUUUCUAGCUUGGUUCAGAUUUUAAAUGAAUAAGGGAUAAUCAAAAAUAGUGAGUCAGAGCAGAAAAAGACAUUACUGUGUAAAAAUCAAAAAUUAAAUUGUUCCAGGAAACAGGAACACUAUCUUAAUUUCCCCUUCCUCCUCCAUAUUGUAGCCACUUUCACAGUGAAAUAAAAAAGGAACUGCAUCACCAAGGGCCUGCUGCAUAUUGAGUGGUUCUCAACACCACCUGCCCUGUGAGAAGGAAGACCAGAGCAAGGCAGGCAAGGGCCAUGGCAGGACCUGAUCCAGUUGGACUGUCCCCUCCCACUGCCAAGGAUAGGGCCAUCUUAAGCAUACCCAGCACUGUGGUGCAACACUCCCUCUGGCACCCCCCCCCCCGUUUCCCAGUUGUUUAGGGAGGGCUGGAGGAGGCGGGCAGCGGCUGGAGGGCGGUUGCUCUGAUAGGGAAGAGGAGGAGGCUGGAUGAAGCCUCCCAGCUCAGCUGGCCGCUUUGUGCCACGGUGGCCACGGCAGACAGAGGCUUCGGGGGAGAUAAUGGAGGCAUAUAAUUUGGAUAAGAAAAUAGGCUUCCAAGAGGAAAAGUCAAAAUUAGAAACAGAAUUGUUAGAACCCAAAACUAAAAAUUUGUCAAGAAUGUAUAACUUGCUGUUGAAAUGGAAUACUCAGGAUGAAACGGUGAAAUCUGCUAUGAUUAAAUGGGCACAAGAUGUUGGCCAUAAUAUUAUGUUUGCUGACUGGGAACAGUUAUGGACCACAGGUAUGAAGUUUACGGCAUGUAAUACCUUAAGAGAGAAUAUUAUGAAAAUGAUAUACAGGUGGUACAUGACCCCAGUCAAGCUUGCAAAAAUUUAUCAUUUGCCCGAUAAUAAAUGUUGGAAAUGUAAAGAAACUGAAGGUACAUUCUUUCACCUUUGGUGGACGUGCCCAAAGAUUAAGGCUUUCUGGGAAAUGAUAUAUAAUGAAAUGAAAAAGGUAUUUAAAUAUACCUUUCUGAAGAAACCAGAGGCCUUUCUCUUGGGCACUGUCGGCCAACUGGUGCCAAAGAAGGACAGAACCUUUUUCAUGUAUGCUACAACAGCAGCAAGAAUACUUAUCGCAAAGUAUUGGAAGACACAAGAUCUACCCACUUUGGAAGAAUGGCAGAUGAAGGUGAUUGACUACAUGGAACUGGCGGAAAUGACUGGCAGAAUCCGAGACCAGGGAGAAGAGUCGGUGAAAGAAGACUGGAAGAAAUUUAAGGACUAUUUACAGAAAUAUUGCAAAAUUAAGGAACUUUAGAAGGAUGUUGGAUAGAAACUAAGAGGUUUUUAGCUGUAAUGCUUUAAGAGACAUGGAAAAAAGGUUAACAAUUGGGUAAAAGAUUAAUGGUAAGGAUUUGCUGAACCAACAAAUUGAAUUGGAAUACAAAGAAGGGAGGUAUGAGGAGGUCCGGGAAAUAAGAGUAAGGAAGAUAGGUUAUGGAACAUUAUUGUGUUUUUAACUGUUUUAUUUUGUAUGUUUUUUUUCUUAUUUUUUACUGUUUUUGUUAUAUCUUAAAACUUUAUACUUUUUCUUUAUUCUGUACUUUCAUGUAUCUUUAAUAAAUAUCAUUUAAAAAAAAAAAAGACAGAGGCUUCGGGGGGUGGUGCUGGUUUGGCACGGCAUGGUGGAGGCGGGCAAGGGCAGCGAGCUGAUGCUGGGAGAUGCCGUGUCCAGCCUCCACCUCUUCCCUGGCACCCUCCAGGCCCUGGCGCCCUGCGCCACUAGCCUCUAUGGGUAAGACGACCCUGGCCAAGGAAAUUGGAAACCUUUUGUAAGGACACCAGAAGAUGAGGUAACGAAACCAUAUUGAGUGGGGGGGUAGGAAAGGGGCUUCUGUUUCCUGUAGCAGCCAGUAGCACCAUCAGGACAAGGCUUGGGGGCAGAAAUCUAGGUCCCAUUCAGCAGAAUAAGCAGGAUGGCCCAACUUAGCACAUCUUGGAACAAAACUUCAGUGCAUGUUUCUGCGUAUUAUUUUGUGAUUUUAAGUGUCUACAUACUUAAAGAUGCAAACCUAUACAUGCUGACCUUGGGAAAAGACCCAUCAGAUUCCAUCCCAGCUGGUCUUUAUCAGAACUUUUGAAAAUUUUAAGAACUGCUGCUUAGGUUUGCUUUCUUCCUCUAGGAGACUUUUGAGCUGAAGGGUGGGUGAGUAGGGAGUAAAAUCCUUAAAUAAAUAAUAUUGAGUGUGUUUGGUUUUCAGACCAUUUCCCAGGAAGCAACAGAUUCUUGGGAAGCUUUGAUUAGAAUAAUUAGCAAUACCUUUACCCAGUGCUUCUGAUCUGUCCCUGAAAUGCCGGACAAGAGAAAUAUUGUGUGUGUGUGUGUGUGUGUGUGUGUAGGAUCUUCUCUCAGGCCACUGUUGAUGAAGGUGAGGCUCCAAUACUGUACUAUAGCAACCUAUUGACAUGGGUGCAGCCAGCAUUUUUCGUUGGGGGGGGCACCCAAAGUUGCUGAAGUUUUUUUAGGAAAUCAAAGUUGUUGAAGUUUAUUUGCCCCCUCCCCAGGCUGUGCUCAUGCAUAUUGUGCACCCCUUUAUUUCUAUGAAGUAAAGACAAACUUCAGUAUUAAAAGUUUUGAAACUCAGAAAACAUUGGUUAUGAACCAUGUCAAAUAUUAAAUCGGCACACCAAGUAUUACAAUGGAUAUUUCAUAUUACAAUGGAUAUGAGGGACGUGGGUGGUGCUGUGGUCUAAACCACAGAGCCUAGGGCUUGCCAAUCAGAAGGUCGGCGGUUCGAAUCCCCGUGAUGGGGUGAGCUCCCGUUGCUCAGUCCCUGCUCCUGCCAACCUAGCAGUUUGAAAGCACAUCAAAAGUGCAAGUAGAUAAAUAGGUACUGCUCCGGCGGGAAGGUAAACGGCGUUUCUGUGCGCUGCUCUGGUUCACCAGAAGCGGCUUAGUCAUGCUGGCCACAUGACCUGGAAGCUGUACGCCGGCUCCCUCGGCCAAUAAAGCGAGAUGAGCGCCGCAACCCCAGAGUUGUCUGCGACUGGAACUCAUGAUCAGGGGUCCCUUUACCCUUUACCUUACAAUCGAUAUCAAAUACAGAUACCCAAUAUUCAGAGAAUAUUUGACUACUGGAGCAGAGGUGGAUUUAGGACCGUGCAACUGGUUCCCUCACACAGGGCGCUGAGCUGAUGGAAUUGUGGAUAAGCCCAGAUGCUUACUUGGAAAUAAAAAUAUACUCUCAACGGACAGAUGAAUACAGAGGGUGUAAGUGCAUUUACAGUGGUUCUGCAUUGGACAGUUGCCAGACUUCUUCAAGUUCCUAUAUUAACCCCCUGCAAAGCAGACAUAAUUGGUUUAUUAUUAAUAACAUGUUCCCAGUUACAUAGGGUAAAGAACUAAGCCAUGUUCCAGGCAAGUUAGGCGUACGGAAUAGCAGAACUGGAAAGUGAGUGUUGGCUAAUACACAAUAUCCAGCAUGAUGUUAAUUCUACAUAUGAUGACAUAAGAAUAGGAUUGCACAUUAUUACAAUUAUUAUUCUCCCCUAUGCUAAUGCCUAGAUUACUGGAAUAACAUGUUUUUGUUUUGUGAUAUUCUUUUACCUUAUCUUAUUUUAUUUCAUGCAUAGCCCAUCUUUCCCCCAAGAACUCAAGGUGGUGCAAAUGGAUCUCCCCCGAUCCUGCCCAUUUUAUCCUCACCAUCACACUGUGAGAUAACUUAGGCUGACAUAUAGUGACUGACCCAAGGACACCCAAGGAAGUUUCAUGGCUGAGUGGAGAUCUGAACCUGGGUUUCCUAGUCCAACGCCUUAUCAUUACGCCACACUGGCUUACUUAGGUAAGCUAACACAUUUCUUUCUUUGGCAUCCUGGCCUGAAGUGCAUGCAGUUUCCCCCUUUGAAUGGCAGUGCAGAUUUUGUAAAUCUGCUGGUGCCUAAACUUUGUCUAGUUGCUAUCUCUCAACUCAACCUCCCUCACAGUGUUCUUUUGAGUACGAGCUGCAUAUGACGUCUUGACAUCAAUGGAGGGAGACGGGGAUACAAAUGUGAUGAUGAUGGUAGUGCUUUGCACCACGCCCAGGCCUCUUUGGGCUCCAAGUGAGAGGGAAAGGGAAAAAAUGGUAAAGGCUGAAAUUUUGUAUCUCAGAGAACAUAUGGCAACUGAAAGAAACAGCAGCAACAGCCUUGUGUCUCUUUCCCUUUAAACAUCGUGUGUAUCACAGCAAAUGGACACCAUUUUAUUCUGCAUUUCCAUGUUCCCUUUCAAAUGGGAUGUGGAAAAGCUACAGGAAAAUGAAAAAUGUGAUUACUCUGCAUCUUAUUACAGUGACUCCUCUUUCAUAGUCACUGAAAUGUUCUGUAUAUGUGUUUUAUGUAGCUAGAGAAUUGUAAGGAGCAGAUAAAGGCCGCCUUACUUUUAUAAGUAAUAAUUUCAUGGUUAUGAUGGCCCUCUGGUGGGAGAUCAGAUAUGUCCAAAGACAUUGAAGAUAACUGCAACUGGGAAAACUGGGAGGGCACAAUCCCCAUGCACUGCAACCCAUGUUCUCCCAUGAGUCUGGGCCAGGAGGAAAGAAAAUGGCAUUUAGUUUGAAGAUUUCCCUAAUUAGCUAGGAGCCCCGGGAGUUUUUCUGCCUUUGGUAAUACCCAUUGGGUUGAUCUCAUCCUGCCUUUGUGAUUUUCAUUAGUUAUCUUGAUGUGAUUGUUGGUUUUGGGGGAACAAAUAAAUCUUUCCUUGCUGCUGACUAUUGACAGGCAAUUUCUUCCCAGGGUGCCUUAUCCAUCCUAAGAUGCAUUUUAGGUGUGAGUUUCCUGCUGUCUAGCCUGAUUGCCUGUUAUUUUGCUUUGCUAAUCUAGGAGCCAUGAAGAGAAGUCCAUAAAUAGGUAUUCUCUCUGCAUGUAGUUUUAACGUGUUCUUUAAAAAAAGGAAGGGAGGAAUUGCAUUGGCCUGAGGGCCCGAGAAAGCAAACUCCAUCAUCAAACCAUCUAUUUACAUAACUGCUAGCACUUUACAUUUUUCAAUUUUACCUGACUAUAUAUAAAAUAUAUGUGUUUUUACUGCCAAGCUAACAUGAAAUGAUAAAGAAAUAAAAUGCUGAUGGAAAAUCAAGGUAUUAAAUUCUUCAUCAGAUGGCAGAAAAAAUGAAAAAGUCAGAGGAGAGUUUAUUUUGUUUCCUUAAGGGAUUUCAAAGAAGAAGAAAAUAGAACUAACAGGCAUGUCUUAACUCCAGGGCGUUUCAACUCUUGGAUCUAAAAAGAUAACAGAUUCAUGUAUAGUUUCAGGAAAUGCAUCCACUGGUGUAAUUGGAUGGACUUGCUGAACAACACAAGAUCUUUAGGAUCUUGACUGAUUUCCAUAUGGUUAUAAUUUAGGGAAGAUGUCAUAUUACUUUUAUGUGAAUCUUGCAGCUAAGUGUCCCGAAUUCUUUUACAGUUGCUGGUUGCAAUAGAGAAAUGCAGAGGGAAGGCUGCAAGAACAGAAAAACAGUGACUUCACAAACAAGGAGAAACAAAGGGAAGAAGGGGAUUUGCCAACUUGGCUCAGGAGCAAACUAGACAUGAAGUUAACCCAGUGAAUGCAAUUAACACACCUAUCUUUUAAAAUGUAAACAUAAGAUGAUAGAACAAUAGAGUUGGAAGGGAUCCUGAGGAUCAUCUAGUCCAACCCCCUGCAAUGAAGGAAUCUCAACACGCUGGUCCCCAUCUAGUUUGAUCAUAGCACACUCUGCUUGAUUUUGCAAAUGUGCACCCUCUGCAGGUGCUGCAGAGAGUGAUUUGGUGUUUAUACACUGGUGUGUGGGAAGACUCUGCUCUCCCAAUGUCAUGGUCCUAAUGAAGCUGUCUUUGCCCUAGGAGGGAAGCAGCUUUUGGCUCUAGUGGACCAAAAAGUGGUCUAUAAAUGAGCCACAGAACAGCAGCUGGUGACAGUUUUCUGAAGGAGGACUGCUGCUACUGAGAUCAGCACAGUGGAACAGAACUUGCCCACUUGCCAAGUAUAGAAGCCGUUGUGAACUUCUAUCUGUGCUUUGCAUACGCACAAACACACCCACACCAGGACAGAAGAAGGCUUCUGUGUUUUUCAUGUGAACCACCAUUCAAAAUCUUAUCCCAAAAACUCCAUUUGAAGUGAAAUGGAUGAGACGUCCUGCGAUGACAGAUAUUUAGUCUUUCAAGAUCUGUUCAUGUGGAUCAUGUUUAAUAUUGCUUAAUUAUAAAUCUUUUUUUAAAAAAAUAGAUUUUUAUUGAUUUUCCAAUAUCAUUCCAAUAACAGCCUCAUUAUCUCUUAUCUCAUUGUAUCUGGCACACGCCUGUAAUUUACUCCAAUUAAAGUCCAAUUAACAGGAUAACCUGUGCUUCCAGGAACGGGAUUGUGGGUGGGUGCCCCAGAGUGGCUGGGCAACCCAGUCAGAUGGGCAGCAUACAAAUAAGAUCAUCAUCAUCAUCACUAUUUAGAUUCGUUUUACUUUUUUUCUUGUCAUAAGGACAUGUGAGGCUCAUCAAGUGAAAAGUUUAGGGUGCCAAAACAGUGAUUCUGAUUAAAAAGGGGUUUAAUUCCAGGAAGAUGAAUCUGUGGCCCUUCAGAUAUUGCUAGACUACAACUCCCACUAUCCUUGACCAUUCCUUGCUGGGGUUGAUGGGAGUCCAAAAACAUAUGGAGGGCUGCAAGCUCCUUGUCCCUGACUUACUUUACAUAGUAAGAUUUCCUCACAAAUCUUCCAGGUUUGAUAUCAGAGUUAGUACUGAUUAGCUGAACAUUGCAAGCUGGGGGUGUAUAUGGUAGAGCCCAUUCCAGUCCCCUCUGCUAUUAUUUUUAACCCACCCAAGGCAUAGAAGUCAAAUGAUGCUCUUGUAAUUAACUCAGCCCUUGGCCUUGAACUAAAAGGUGCACUAAUUGCAGAGACUUUUCUCCUGGCGUCAUUUCAUUUUUGUACUUUUAAUCUUUCCCAGUCCUUCAGAAACAAAUAACAAGUGGGUCAAAAAGAGUUUGAAGCUAUGUAAGAUUUCUUUUCGCAUGGAAAUUUCAGAGAGACAAAACACUCACACUCUCUUUUUAAGUUCCUGCUUCAAAUGCAGCCUUUGUCUUGGGACCUGUGUGCGAUUGCCACUAAAGAUGCAUGAAGAAAUUGGUCUUUAUUAAUUCCUCAGUGAAUUGACCUGAGCUGCAUUUCUUGGAGUGAUGUGUGGAUGAGAACUUAUUUAUCCAUCCAACUUCACACUUAGUUCUUAGCAGAAAAGCAUAUCAAAAUGCUUCUCUGCACAUUGUGGAUGGUAAAAUCUAGGAGGAGGAGGUUGACUAGAUUGGUCUAGGGAGCAGUUAAAGCCUCACUAUAUGGGGGAGUUCUCCUUGGUCUAUCAGUAGAUUUGACACCACUGGAAUUACUCAGGGUGGUGUAUGAUGCUUGUUGGGAAAGCUCAGAAACAACAUAAAUGGGAUCCAUCACCAAAAUUAAGCAGUUUAAAUGUAUAGGUAUCAACUUCACUAUUUUAGGAUCCUUUAAAGCAGGGGUGGGUAAGGUUUCUAAGCUUGAGGGGCACAUGCCAUUGGUAGAUGUGUUUAUUGAGUGUUUCAGGGGUUUUGUGGUUUUUUAUUGUUGCAAAAUAUAUUGGACAUUGCAAUGGAUCAUGAUAUUUAUUUAAAGUGAUGUCACUUUACUAUUUCACUGUUGUAUAACUGAUGGCCUUUGGCUAAAGCAAUAAAGAUAUGGAUUUGGAAAAGUAUUCAGCAACACGGCAGUGGGCAGGGUUCCUGCAUUGCAGGUUUGGACUAGAUGAACCUUGGGGUCUCUUCCAGCUCUACAAUUCUACGAUUCUAUUAUAUUAUUCUAUUCAAAUGAUGAAUAUUACUGUAAGAAAGUAAUGAUUAGAUGGCACAAGUCACCAGAUAAUAUCAGAAUCUGCCUUCAAAUUCAGAUAGAAGGACUGUUUGAGACUUGCUCUAGUCUUCCACUAAGCUUCGCUUUCAUAUUCUCCCUUCUACCUUGAUAUAGACAUUGAGGUUUUUCCUGCCCCUCUCUAAAGUAUCCCACAUGAGAUCUAUUCAUUACUCAUGCUUUUCCUUUGCAUAUGGUGCCUUCUUCUGCCAUAUGUUCAUGCCAAGAUUGCAUGGCCAUGGAAAGGUCCUGCAGACAUGUAAUUCCUUCAACCUUCAUGCCCUUCCUCCUCAUCCCAGUUUUCCAUGACUAUCUUUAGGAAAUGAUGUUAUAAAUUAGGUGUUCUCCCUUGGAAGUGAUUUGGGGCCCACUGUAUCUUCCUCAAUUAUUGUCCAUAUGCUUUCUUGUGCUGACUCUUUAAGGCACAGCUCCUGUGGCCCCCAUGCUAAGCUGCUUCUGAAUGAGACGGGGAAAUGGUGUUCUAAUUCACAUAUACGCUUCCAUGUCAGCCUCUCUAAUGGUUCCCUUGGUGACAGUAAGUUUGAAUUUUCAAUCAGUUCUCUGGCAUGGUGCUUCAAAAUUUGUUUAGAUGAUUGUUUAGCACAGACCUAAUGAGCGCAGUCAGGCUUGUAAUGGAAAAAAGAGUUUAUUGAGCAGACAGAUCUCAUGAGUUGGAAGAGAUUUUCUGGCCUUUGGUCAGGCCUUAACAGGUCAGGAAAUGUUAGUUCCAGCUUUGAUUGGGACGUAUUUUGUUCCCCUUCCCUUUCACUUUCUAUUUGCUGCACCACUGUAAAACAAAUGUACCUGUAUGAUGUAAUGUAUCCUGCAUGAAUUGCAGCUGGAAGGGUCCAAAUCCCAGAAUUAGCUUGUUGGGGCCAACUAUGGAGAAGGUAGCUGAUCCCACUCAAGGAUACCCCGCUGCCACCCAGAUUAAAAAAAACAGGAACAAGCAAAGUACGCAGAAAUAAAGAAAAAUGGGCCUGAUCUGUCUUCCUUAAGCACCUCCCUCUCCUACUCUCACAUGUACAUAGGGAGCAGCAUUCAUCUCUGCAGGAGAGACUAUCUGUCCCAUGAAACUCAGCCAACUGGUGAAUACCAGGAAUAGGUAAAUCUGUCAAUUUAACAUUCUCUCCAUUUUGAAUUUUUCCAUUCUUAACUUAUGUUUUUCACAUUUUCACAUUAGUUUGUGAUUUUUUUAUGUCCUCAUGAAAAUUCAUCAACAUUCUAGUGCACUUUUCUCCUAAUAUACCAUUUUUCUUAGGAUUUUUUUUCCAAUCUAACAUUUUUGCAUUUCCCCUAAUAUAAAGCAUUCUUGUGUGAUAUAUUAACUAAUAUAUUCAUCUUGUGCCACACUUUUUCCUAGUACAGGCAUGGUCAAACUUGGCCCUCCAGCUGUUUUGGGACUAUAAUUCCCAUCAUCCCUGACCACUGUUCCUGUUAGCUAGGGAUGAUGGGAGUUGUAUUCCCAAAACAGCUGGAAGGCCAAGUUUGGCCAUGCCUGUCCUAGUACAUGCAUCCUAGUACUCAAUACUUGGCCUGAGAACCUGUUUGCAAAUGUGAAUUUCAAAGGAUGAUUGUGUUUCAGUUAUCAUUUUGUUUCUGAAAGUACAAAUUAAGUAGCUUCACUUUUAAAUGUGAACUGAUUUGAAAUCUUCCCCAUCCCUAGUGGAUACUGCUCAAAGGAAGCUGUGUGAGAGCAACAAUUUCCAACUUAGUUGAAGCAUUAUUGCUGGUGGUUCUCAGCAUGUGAAGUCUUGACAUGAGCCGACUCUCCACCCAGAUGAAAGAAUUGCAAUAUAACACAAUUAUUUCAGCAGUUGCAUAAGGUCCUAGAACUCUAUAAUUCUAUGAUUCUGUGGUGCAGGCUUUACUGGUUACAUCCUUUAAUCAUUGUUUAUUUACCUGUACUUUGUAUCUGUACUCCUUAAGUUAUUGAUAAAAGAAACAAUAGAAAACUAUUUGUAUAGUAACUUCCCAACUCUACCAUUGCCUGUUCACUGUGAAUUUGGCAAUUAAAGAGGCCUGGGUGCAAGUGAAGCAUGAACAGCAAGCUUUUUCUUUCAUAAACUGACAGCAUGAGCUCUCCCUCAUCUAGAAUGGGAACCUUGUCAGAGGUAAAGGGACAUGGCUCCAAUCAACACUGUCAAGACAUCUUCAAAAAGCUUUUGAUAAAGCCCUUCACCAAAGACUCCUAUGUAAGCUUAGCAUUCAUGGGAUAAGAGGACAUGUCCUUUUAUGGAUCAGUAACUGGUUUCCCUUAAGGGUGAUCCAGGAAUGUUGAUUUAUUAAUUUGAUCUACUGCAUUGUAAUGUAUUUUGCAUUUGUUUUACAGAUAUAAUUUCAUUCUUGAUUUUGUGCUGUUCACUACCAUGAUUCCCUACCUCAAAUAUGGCAGUAUAUAUAGUUGUGCAAAUAAAAUUAAUCAGUAAAACCUUUCCCAGGUUGUAUGUACACAAUGCUGACUGGAUCACCUCUGUCCAUAUGCUUGUUGAUGCUGUCAGAUAACCCUCCUACUGCUACCCCAUCCCAAGUUUCUCAACUAGAUCAGACCCAUCAUUCUUUCAAUUUGCAAAUGAAAAGUUCUGAUACAUUUGAUGAAUGUAACAUGGUGUCUGGCUUCUGUAGCAAGAAUUGAAGAGGCCUCCUAGAUAAGAAUGUAAAAUUAAACACCAUUGUCAAGAAUUCUUGUAUGUCUGUCCAUGUCCACCACUGCAUAUGAAUGUACAUACCUGGUGCAUCACACAGCAUCUUAAGCACAAAUUGGAACAUGGGUUCUUAAUACGAGAGAUUUUUAUUUUUUACAAGUGGUGUAUCAGUUUUAGAUUCUGCAACCUUCUAUAUGCUGAGAUUGUUUUAAAAGAUGUCUUUAUCCACAUAGGUGACCAUUGGGACUGGAUCUUUAGAUGCAAAAGCUUCUCUGCCGCUGUUUGAAAAAGAUCUCAAUCUACCGACUCUGCAGCCGCCUAGGCCUGCAAGCUCUGUUCUCUCCUCCAAUGUCAUAUUCCCUGGUUGCCUUCAAGAGCAGGGAGUAAAUCAUCCUUAGCCAGGUGCUAAUUGCUUUCAUGGUUUUCAUUAGGCAGACACCAGUGAAGCUGGAUUAUUUCUAAGGGGACAUUCCUAUUUUAUCAGAUCCAUAACACCCCUUUUCUGAUUAUGGGGAACUGUUGGCAG